AAUCCAGUGGCAGACGGGUGAGGAACACGUGGGAUCUACCGUUCCGUUCGGAAUAACAGGGCGAAAGUCCUGCUAAUACCGGAUACGGUCGCGAGACGAAAGUGGUAACGCGCGGAACGAGGAGCCUGCGGCGGAUUAGGCAGUUGGUGGGGUAACGGCCUACCAAACCGAUGAUCCGUAGCUGGUCUGAGAGGAUGAUCAGCCACACUGGGACUGAGACACGGCCCAG
rnacentral:rRNA from 1 species